CUUUCUGAUAGAAUAGAAAGUCGUGCCUGCCCAUUGAUUAAUUUAACGGCCGCGGUAUUUUGACCGUGCAAAGGUAGCAUAAUCAUUAGUCUUUUAAUUGUGGACUGGAAUGAACGGUUUGACGAAAUAAUAUCUGUCUCUACUAUAUUUUUAGAAUUUUACUUUUAAGUCAAAAGGCUUAAAUGAUGAAUAGGGACGAGAAGACCCUAUAGAUCUUUAUUUCAACUAAUUUAUUUUAAUAUUUGUAAUUAAUUUAAUUAAAUUGUUUGAAAUUUAAUUGGGGUGAUUGGAGAAUAUAAGUAACUUCUUUGUAUUAAACUUUGAUAAGAGGUUUAUUGAUCCUUUAUUAUGGAUUAAAGAUUAAGAUACCUUAGGGAUAACAGCGUUAUUUUAUUUGAGAGUUCUUAUCGACAAUAAAGAUUGCGACCUCGAUGUUGGAUUAAAAUUAUAAUUGGGUGUAACAGCUUAAUAAUAUUGGUCUGUUC
rnacentral:rRNA from 1 species